GCUGGGGAUAUAGCUCAGUUGAUAAAGUGCUUGCCUCACAUGCACAAGGCCUGUGUUCAAUCCCCAGCAGCA
rnacentral:tRNA from 1 species